rnacentral:rRNA from 1 species
GAACGCUGGCGGCAUGCCUAACACAUGCAAGUCGAACGAUGCCUUCGGGCAUAGUGGCGCACGGGUGCGUAACGCGUGGGAAUCUGCCCCUGGGUUCGGAAUAACAGCGAGAAAUUGCUGCUAAUACCGGAUGAUGACGAAAGUCCAAAGAUUUAUCGCCCAGGGAUGAGCCCGCGUAGGAUUAGCUAGUUGGUGAGGUAAGAGCUCACCAAGGCGACGAUCCUUAGCUGGUCUGAGAGGAUGAUCAGCCACACUGGGACUGAGACACGGCCCAGACUCCUACGGGAGGCAGCAGUGGGGAAUAUUGGACAAUGGGCGAAAGCCUGAUCCAGCAAUGCCGCGUGAGUGAUGAAGGCCUUAGGGUUGUAAAGCUCUUUUACCCGGGAUGAUAAUGACAGUACCGGGAGAAUAAGCUUCGGCUAACUCCGU